AGCGAACGCUGGCGGCAGGCCUAACACAUGCAAGUCGAACGAUCCUUCGGGAUAGUGGCGGACGGGUGAGUAACACGUGGGAACGUGCCCUUUGGUUCGGAACAACUCAGGGAAACUUGAGCUAAUACCGAAUGUGCCCUUCGGGGGAAAGAUUUAUCGCCAUUGGAGCGGCCCGCGUCUGAUUAGCUAGUUGGUGAGGUAAUGGCUCACCAAGGCGACGAUCAGUAGCUGGUCUGAGAGGAUGAUCAGCCACACUGGGACUGAGACACGGCCCAGACUCCUACGGGAGGCAGCAGUGGGGAAUCUUGCGCAAUGGGCGAAAGCCUGACGCAGCCAUGCCGCGUGAAUGAUGAAGGUCUUAGGAUUGUAAAAUUCUUUCACCGGGGACGAUAAUGACGGUACCCGGAGAAGAAGCUCCGGCUAACUUCGUGCCAGCCGCCGCCGUAACAC
rnacentral:rRNA from 1 species